AACAUACUCCCUCCGUUCCAAAAUAGAUGACCCAACUUUGUACUAACUAGUACAAAGUUGGGUCAUCUAUUUUGGAACGGAGGGAGUAGAAG
rnacentral:pre_miRNA from 1 species